rnacentral:rRNA from 2 species
AUUGAUUGAUGGUGCUUGCACCUGAUUGAUUUUGGUCGCCAACGAGUGGCGGACGGGUGAGUAACACGUAGGUAACCUGCCCAGAAGCGGGGGACAACAUUUGGAAACAGAUGCUAAUACCGCAUAACAGCGUUGUUCGCAUGAACAACGCUUAAAAGAUGGCUUCUCGCUAUCACUUCUGGAUGGACCUGCGGUGCAUUAGCUUGUUGGUGGGGUAACGGCCUACCAAGGCGAUGAUGCAUAGCCGAGUUGAGAGACUGAUCGGCCACAAUGGGACUGAGACACGGCCCAUACUCCUACGGGAGGCAGCAGUAGGGAAUCUUCCACAAUGGGCGCAAGCCUGAUGGAGCAACACCGCGUGAGUGAAGAAGGGUUUCGGCUCGUAAAGCUCUGUUGUUAAAGAAGAACACGUAUGAGAGUAACUGUUCAUACGUUGACGGUAUUUAACCAGAAAGUCACGGCUAACUACGUGCCAGCAGCCGCGGUAAUACGUAGGUGGCAAGCGUUAUCCGGAUUUAUUGGGCGUAAAGAGAGUGCAGGCGGUUUUCUAAGUCUGAUGUGAAAGCCUUCGGCUUAACCGGAGAAGUGCAUCGGAAACUGGAUAACUUGAGUGCAGAAGAGGGUAGUGGAACUCCAUGGUGUAGCGGUGGAAUGCGUAGAUUUAUGGAAGAACACCAGUGGCGAAGGCGGCUACCUGGUCUGCAACUGACGCUGAGACUCGAAAGCAUGGGUAGCGAACAGGAUUAGAUACCCUGGUAGUCCAUGCCGUAAACGAUGAGUGCUAGGUGUUUUGAAGGGUUUCCGCCCUUCA